GGAUGGGUGCCGGAGCGGUCGAACGGGCUCGCCUGGAAAGCGUGUGUACCUCAUAAGGGUACCGAGGGUUCGAAUCCCUCCCCAUCCGCCA
rnacentral:tRNA from 1 species